GACUGCUUGCUUCGGCAGCUCGUGUACUAAAAUUGAAAUGAUACAGAGAAGAUUAACAUCGCUCCUGUGCAAGGAUGACACACACGUUUGUGAAAUGUUCCACAUUUUU